UACGUAGGGGGCCAGCGUUGUUCGGAAUUACUGGGCGUAAAGAGCGCGUAGGCGGCGCAGUGUGUUUGGUGUGAAAUCUCCCGGCUCAACCGGGAGGGGCCAUCGAAAACUGCUGUGCUUCGGGUUUGGGAGAGGGGAGUGGAAUUCCCGGUGUAGCGGUGAAAUGCGCAGAUAUCAGGAAGAACACCAAUGGCGAAGGCAGCUCUCUGGGACGGUACUGACGCUGAGACGCGAAAGCGUGGGGAGCGAACAGG
rnacentral:rRNA from 1 species